CAAAGGCCUCCAACUCCUGGGAUUGAUGAGGCCACAGGAAGCUCUCAGCCCAAUGGAAGCCAGCUGGCAGCAGUCCCUGUGACACUCAAGAGCUUCUUGUGCUGCGAGUAGCUACAUCCAACGAGAAAAUGAGAAACCUAAAGAGAUGAGAG
rnacentral:lncRNA from 14 species